rnacentral:lncRNA from 1 species
GUGGGUGUUUGGUUUGGGUUUCUUUCACAAGAAGAGAAGGAAUGAAGUCUGCUGUUGCUUAAUAUGUAAUCGAGAGAGAGUGGAAGGCAGGCAAGGUUUUUGAUUUGGAGAAGAUGAUCUCCUGUGUUUUGUUUUGUGUUUUGAGAGAGGGAAUGAGAUGCUCAAAUUUUGUUGUGGUGAGCAGAAGGAAUCGAGAGAGGGAGAGGGUAGAAGGUGAGAGGUAGUCUGCUUUAUGUGUGUGUAUAUUGAUUUGAGUUGGUGGACAUGAGUGGGUGUAGGAUAUAUAUAGAGAUGUAGAGAUUUUAUAAGGAUUGAGUAAAUCUUGUGUGUUUCAAAUUUUAGAGACAAAAUCUAUUAUCUAAAUUUCAUAGAGAUUAUGGAAGAUUUUGCACAGGUUUUGUUUAGAUUUUGCUUAGAUUUUUAAGGAAAAAUCUAAUAUAUUAUGUGCAGGUUGAGGCUUGUGGGUUUUGGGCUUGG